rnacentral:rRNA from 1 species
AGCGUUAAUCGGAAUUACUGGGCGUAAAGCGUGCGCAGGCGGUUCUGUAAGAUAGAUGUGAAAUCCCCGGGCUCAACCUGGGAAUUGCAUAUAUGACUGCAGGACUUGAGUUUGUCAGAGGAGGGUGGAAUUCCACGUGUAGCAGUGAAAUGCGUAGAUAUGUGGAAGAACACCGAUGGCGAAGGCAGCCCUCUGGGACAUGACUGACGCUCAUGCACGAAAGCGUGGGGAGCAAACAGGAUUAGAUACCCUGGUAGUCCACGCCCUAAACGAUGUCUGCCGGUUGUUGGGGAUUUCUAUCUUCAGUAACGAAGCUAACGCGUGAAGCAGACCGCCUGGGGAGUACGGUCGCAAGAUUAAAACUCAAAGGAAUUGACGGGGACCCGCACAAGCGGUGGAGUAUGUGGUUUAAUUCGAUGCAACGCGAAGAACCUUACCUGGGCUUGACAUGUAAUGAACAACAUGUGAAAGCAUGCGACUCUUCGGAGGCGUUACACAGGUGCUGCAUGGCCGUCGUCAGCUCGUGUCGUGAGAUGUUUGGUUAAGUCCAGCAACGAGCGCAACCCCUGUUGCCAGUUACCAGCACGUGAAGGUGGGGACUCUGGCGAGACUGCCCAGAUCAACUGGGAGGAAGGUGGGGACGACGUCAGGUCAGUAUGGCCCUUAUGCCCAGGGCUGCACACGUACUACAAUGCCCAGUACAGAGGGGGCCGAAGCCGCGAGGCGGAGGAAAUCCUGAAAACUGGGCCCAGUUCGGACUGUAGGCUGCAACCCGCCUACACGAAGCCGGAAUCGCUAGUAAUGGCGCAUCAGCUACGGCGCCGUGAAUACGUUCCCGGGUCUUGUACACACCGCCCGUCACAUCAUGGAAGCCGGUCGCACCCGAAGUAUCUGAAGCCAACCGCAAGGAGGCAGGGUCCUAAGGUGAGACUGGUAACUGGGAUGAAGUCGUAACAAGGUAGCCGUAGGGGAACCUGCGGCUG